CGCGCGUGUACUACUGAAUCUUGCUUGUGGGCGUGUGUGCUGCGAGUUUGUAGUAUGUCGGUGAAUUUCUAAAUCCUCGUACGAAGACGUCAUCAGCGAUUCGUCGGACACAAACUGGGUGCUGUUCGAUUAUGACAAACAGACGAACGACGUAAAAGUGAUUGAGACUGGAGAUGGGAGCAUCGAGGAAUUGGGCAAAGAGUUUAGCGGCAGUAAAAUACAAUACGGAUGGUGCAAAGUGACCGAUCCGAACACCAACCUGCCGAAGCUUGUUCUUAUCAACUGGUUUGGGGAGGCAGCACCGACAUCACGGAAAGACGUCUGUCAACGUCAUGUCAACGAUAUUGCCGGAUUUCUAAGGGGUGCUCACGUGACCAUCAAUGCUUGUCACGAAGGCAACGUGGAGGAGAAGGUCGUAUUAGAGAAAGUGUCGAAAUCGUCUGGAGCUCGUUAUGGCUUCCACAAGGAAAAGGCCAGACCAGUGGAACGAUCCGGUCCAGUGGGUUUGGUUUACAAGAAAGCCGACAUACGAGCUGAUAUUGAUGCAAACAAACGAGACAAGUUUUUGUCUGACCAAGAGAAACUUGAGAAGCAGUGCGUUCAAGAGGAACGUAAGGUAAGAUUGAAGAAGCAAAGAAGCGGACAGUGAAAUCA